AAGACAAAACAAAUAGGAGUAUGAAAACCAAUAAAAGAUAAUUUUGGAAAAAUUCUUGCACAACACACUUUGGAAAAUCAUGGAGGAAGGAAGAAGUUCAC